rnacentral:rRNA from 1 species
ACCUGGCGGUCCUUGUCGGCCGUCCAGGGGUGUUGCGUUCCGGUGCGUCCUUGCCGCCCGAGUUGCUAACCGCCUAAGUCAUUGCUUGAAAGCAGCCCCAUGGAGGGUGAUAGGCCCGUGUGGCGGCGCCUCUAAAAAGGGUGAAGGCGGCUCGGGCGGGCGGACGUCCACCGUAGAGUCGGGUUGCUUAGUACUGCAGCCCUAAGCAGGUGGUAAACUCCAUCUAAGGCUAAAUACUACCACGAGUCCGAUAGAGCACAAGUACCGUGAGGGAAAGCUGAAAAGAACUCUGAAGAGAGAGUUCAAUAGGACGUGAAACCGUUAGAAGCUUAAACGGGUGGACCCGCGAAGGUUGAGCCAGGGGAUUCAGCUCGCCGGCUGGCGGAGCGCGGAGGAAGGGUCCGAGACGGUUGCUUUAAGGACGAGACCCGGCGCGAAGUCGCUGCCGGGCACCUGCCUCCGCCUCCGGCAUCUGCCGGCGGGCUUACUUCUCCCUGGCGAAGUCGCCGCGACCCGCUCUGGGGAGCCCAAGGGCCGUGUCGCACUGGUAGUCCGGGC